GACGAACGCUGGCGGCGUGCUUAACACAUGCAAGUCGAACGAUGAAGCUGGAGCUUGCUCCAGUGGAUUAGUGGCGAACGGGUGAGUAACACGUGAGCAAUCUGCCCUUGACUCUGGGAUAACUGCGGGAAACUGUAGCUAAUACCGGAUACGACACCUUGGGGCAUCCCGGGGUGUGGAAAGAAUUUCGGUCAAGGAUGAGCUCGCGGCCUAUCAGCUUGUUGGUGAGGUAAAGGCCCAUCAAGGCGACGACGGGUAGCCGGCCUGAGAGGGUGACCGGCCACACUGGAACUGAGACACGGUCCAGACUCCUACGGGAGGCAGCAGUGGGGAAUAUUGCACAAUGGGCGAAAGCCUGAUGCAGCAACGCCGCGUGAGGGAUGACGGCCUUCGGGUCGUAAACCUCUUUUAGCAGGGAAGAAGCGAAAGUGACGGUACCUGCAGAAAAAGCACCGGCUAACUACGUGCCAGCCGCCGCCGUAA
rnacentral:rRNA from 1 species